rnacentral:rRNA from 1 species
AGAAAGAUGGCUUUAUUGCUGUCGCUGAAGGAUGAGCUCAUAUGCUAUUAGCUAGUUGGUGGGGUAAAGGCCUACCAAGGCGAAGAUGGCUAGCCGGCCUGAGAGGGUGUACGGCCACACUGGAACUGAGACACGGUCCAGACUCCUACGGGAGGCAGCAGUGAGGAAUAUUGCACAAUGGGCGAAAGCCUGAUGCAGCGACGCCGCGUGGAGGAUGAAGGUCUUCGGAUUGUAAACUCCUGUUAAGUGGGAAGAAAUACCUACCAGUAAUAUGGGUAGGGGAUGACGUUACCAUUAGAGAAAGCACCGGCUAACUUCGUGCCAGCAGCCGCGGUAAUACGAGGGGUGCAAGCGUUAUUCGGAAUAACUGGGCGUAAAGGGUGCGUAGACGGUUUGUUAAGUCUGUUGUUAAAUUCCCCGGCCUAACCGGGGUCCAGCAAUAGAAACUGAUAGACUAGAGGAUGGAAGAGAGAAGUGGAAUUCUCGGAGUAGCGGUAAAAUGCGUAGAUCUCGAGAGGAACACCGAUGGCGAAGGCAGCUUCUUGGUCCAUAUCUGACGUUGAGGCACGAAAGCGUGGGGAGCAAACAGGAUUAGAUACCCUGGUAGUCCACGCUGUAAACGAUGAUCACUAGAUGUUAGUCUUGCUUAGCAGGAUUAGUAUCGUAGCUAACGCGUUAAGUGAU